CGUUUCCGUGUUUGGUACUCCAUCUCAACAAAGGGCUUCCUCUUCUUCCUACCAUUUUCUCUCUUCAGUCUCUCUCUGUUUUCAGCUUUAAGUUUGAAAAACAACGUUGUCGGAAAAUCUAAGGCGGUGCCUUAAGUGUUGGGUAAACAAUCAGAAAGGAGAAGACAAAUUAUGAAAGGAGUUUGCUUCUUUCUUGAGUGUCUGUCUAUUUUUGGUUGUUUGUUUGCUGCGUCUUGUAAAACGAGACACCACAGGGCACACACAAUACGUAAUAUCACGUGUGGUGUAUUUGUAUUAUGUAUUUGAUAUGCGUAUUUACGAAUACGUAUAUGUGUCUUGGGUCAGGUGUGUGUGGGAUAUAACAGGGUCCACGUGACAUACGGCUGCAUUGUACUCUUGUUACAUAUGUUACAUGUGUAUUUCCCUAUAAAAAUAUAAAGCUUUGUCAAUAAUAUAUAUAGA